rnacentral:tRNA from 1 species
AGACGGUUGGCCGAGGUCUAAGGCGCCAGAUUUAGGCUCUGGUCCGAAAGGGCGUGGGUUCAAAUCCCACAAUGUUUA